UACUUGGAUAACUGUGGUAAUUCUAGAGCUAAUACACGCAGGAAGAGUGCAUUUAUUAGAACAAAACCAAUUUUGGUGAAUCUGAAUAACCCACAGUCUUUGCACUGGCGACGCAUCUUUCAAGUGUCUGCCUUAUCAACUUUCGAUGGUAGUUUAUGUGACUACCAUGGUUAUAACGGGUAACGGAGAAUCAGGGUUCGACUCCGGAGAGGGAGCCUGAGAAAUGGCUACCACAUCCAAGGAAGGCAGCAGGCGCGCAAAUUACCCAUUCUCAGAGAGGAGGUAGUGACGAAAAAUAACGAGGUGGUUCUCUAUACUAUCGGAAUGAUGACAAUUUAAAUCCUUUACAAAGGAUCUAGCGGAGGGCAAGUCUGGUGCCAGCAGCCGCGGUAAUUCCAGCUCCGCCAGUGUAUACCUAU
rnacentral:rRNA from 1 species